GGUGGGGGGAGGAGUGGGGGGGGGGGACAGGCGCAGGUGGAGGGGGGAGUAAACCAACGCAAAGGCUGAAAUUAAACAGAAUGUGGAAAGAAAUCUUUUCAGACAACCAGGGAAGGGUAAGGACAAUCGAGCUGGGGGACAGUAACGAGAAAGGCAAAGAAGGAGAAAAAAAAAAAAUCCAGACUGAAGAGUGAGGCCAUGGAAGGAUGAGAAAUGUACUUGAAACAGAAAGGCAAAGAAAGAAAAAUACGUCCGGAAAUCAAAAUUCAACAUGGGGGGAAAAUCAGGCUACAGGCAACGUGUUCCUGAAAGUGUCAAGAAAGAGAGAGAGAAAGAGAAAGAAAAAAAAAAAAAAAAAAAAAGCCCCCGAACAAACUGGAAGAACAGAAAGUGAAGGGAGAAAGGAAAGGAGACAAAUUAAACCAGACAAGAAAUAGCGCUGAAACUUUGACAGUCUUAUCUGCACCUAUAAGGAUCUUAGGAGCUACAGAGACUGAACUGUGCUACAUAUUGUCCAAUUUCUCAAACAACACCUUAUGCUGCAUUUCAUAUUGCCAAAUUAAUCAAACUUGAAGCACCGUCCUUACUCAGCCAGUGAUAUGGAAGCAUUUUCUCUACAAGAAUCCAUAGCGCAUCCUACGGCAGGCUCUCCACAAUGGAUCAAGCAUAGCUGCCCACAGCUGUCUCAGUUAUGAGCUUCUUCAUCCACAUAAUGGCAACAGAAAGAACUGUUUUGAUUUCUGUCAGAUGAGCAAGGAAGAUUCUUUUUCAGCUUCCACUAGCAAACCACUUCUCGUAUGGCUUUAAUUUAACUCGGGUCACUUACUGCUCCUGGUAAUCAAUGACUUGAGCCAGGUACCUGGCUUGGCCGAGGGAAAAAAGAUCAUAUUGCUAGGCUUAGAGCCACACCACACUCUCCAGGCCCAAAUCAAGAAAGAAAUCAGUUUCUGCCAGAAGAGAUGCAUGGAGUGAGAGUACCCCAAUCCAUCCACAUCUGAUUAGAUCAGGAAAAUAAAACACCUGACUCAAAUAAGCAUCAACCAUAGUUUGGCCACAGAUCUGGAAAUGAAGAGCAAAGUGCAGUUUCCAGAAGUUCCGAGAUCCAGUCUUAUAGCCAUGCUUGGAGCCCAGAGAUUGGCGCUUAGAUAUUCAAGUAUUUGUUGAAGGAAUGAAUGAGUGAAUGAAUGAACAGAGGCUUCAUGACUUCAAGAGACCUCAGUGUAGGAGACUUUCACUCUAUGUCUUGCUUUCACCAAUUAUACUACAGAUACCUUUC